rnacentral:lncRNA from 1 species
GAAGAAGCUUACGAACUGAGCCCCUACCCCUAGCUGAAGACCAAAUGACAGUUAAUGGCUUUUAGGCAGGGAGGCUCAGUUUCCUUUAAGACUGUGGCCCUGGUAUGUCUGUUUCAGUGGCUAGCCUUAUACCUGUGAGUAUAUGAACAACACAAAGUAGACUUGGCUUUGCAGCAAGUGUGUGCUUCCUGCUGUCUGAGCUGUCUGAACGUGCAACAGUGUGGAGAAGAGUUCAGAGGGAGGAGAGAGAAGUCUCACCUGCGACACUUUGAAAAAGAUGACAUGGCAAUGCUCUUUUAUUGGCAAGAGGUUGUGAAAACAUUAAAAGUUCUUCAGCCUAGGAAGAGAGGGGAGCAAGGUGAUGGAGCUGCCAUUUACAGUCAGAGGUCCUGACUGCAUUCCUGACCCCUCACAGGAACCAGAACGGAGGCCCCAAGGCCCUCUGGAUGGAGCUUCACAGCUUCAGAUCCUGAGCGUCACAAGACACAAGACAGGAAUGGGACUAAUAGGAUUAGAAACAUAAUUUAUUUUCAGGAUAGGAGGUCUGAUUUAGACGUAUCACACUGGGGCAGAGAUCAACAUAGCACUCCAGUUUCUGAGCAACUACCAGACCUUCUUUGCCCUGGGAAGUCUGUCCAUACUGAGAAGGAAGGAUGGCAGGACCUGGGGACUCUUGCCACUCCCCACCUAGGGAGCCCUUCCUCAUGCUAAGCCUAGCUUCCUGCCAUAAUACUUACUGUAGUGGUUUGAAUAUGCUUGACCCAUGGAGUGGCACUAUUAGGAGAUGUGGCCUUGUUGGAGUAGGUAUGUCACUACGGGAGUGGACUUUAAGGCCCUCUUUCUAGCUGCCUGGAAGUCAGUCUUCUGUUUGCCUUCAGAACAAGAUGUAGAACUCUGAGCUCCUCAUGCAAUGCACCAUGCCUGCCUGGGCACUGCCAUGCCCGCCUUGAUGAUAAUGGACUGAACCUCCGAACCUGUAAGCCAGCCCCAGUUAAAUGUUGUCCUUAUAAGAGUUGCCUUGGGGCUGGUGAGAUGGCUCAACAGGUAAAAGCACCGACUGCUCUUCUGAAGGUCAUGAGUUCAAAUCCCAGCAACCAUAUGGUGGCUCACAACCACCCGUAACAAGAUCUGACGC